rnacentral:rRNA from 1 species
CAAUAGCGUAUAUUAAAGUUGUUGCAGUUAGAACGCUCGUAGUCGGAUUUCGGGGCGGGCCGACCGGUCUGCCGAUGGGUACGCACUGGCCGGCGCGUCCUUCCUUCCGGAGACCGUGCCUACUCUUAACUGAGCGGGGGCGGGAGACGGAUCUUUUACUUUGAAAAAAUCAGAGUGUUUCAAGCAGGCAGCCCGCUCUUGCAUGGAUUAGCAUGGGAUAAUGAAAUAGGACUUUGGUGCUAUUUUGUUGGUUUCGAACACCGAAGUAAUGAUUAACAGGGACAGUCAGGGGCACUCGUAUUCCGCCGAGAGAGGUGAAAUUCUCAGACCAGCGGAAGACGAACUACUGCGAAAGCAUUUGCCAGGGAUGUUUUCACUG